AUAAGUAGGGAGCGAGCGUUGUCCGGAAUUACUGGGCGUAAAGGGCGCGUAGGCGGCGCUUCAAGUCGUCUGUCAAAUGGGAGGGCUUAACCCUUUUUCGCAGACGAAACUGGAGAGCUUGAGAAGCAGAGAGGCAAACAGAAUUCCUGGUGUAGCGGUGAAAUGCCAAGAUUUCAGGAAGAAUACCAGUGGCGAAGGCGGUGUGCUGGCUGCAUACUGACGCGGAAGAGCGAAAGCCAGGGAAGCGAACGGGAUUAGAUUCGCCUGUAGUCCUGGCAGUAAACGAUGUAUGCUGGGUGUGAGACUAGCGAUAGUUUCGUGACGAAGUUAACGCGAUAAGCAUACCGCCUGGGGAGUACGGUCGCAAGAUUGAAACUCAAAUGAAUUGACGGGG
rnacentral:rRNA from 1 species